rnacentral:lncRNA from 1 species
CUGGCUCCUGGUGCCUCUCUAUGGAGAGCACCUCUGUGCCUCUCUGAGAGCACUCACAGCCAAAAGUACACAGCUGCCCCCAGGCUGAGAGUGCUUGAUACACCCUUGAAUCCCCUCUUAUAUGAUGCCCCAGCCCAGGAGAGAUAAAAGCAUCAGCACCAUGAGAUUCACCUGCCUCUGGUCGUUAGAGAUGGAAUUUCAACAUGUUGCCCAGACUGGUCUGGAACUCCUGUGCUCAAGUGAUUCGCCUGCCUCGGCCUCCGAAAGUGCUGGG